rnacentral:rRNA from 1 species
GCUACUCUGCUGACGAGCGGCGGACGGGUGAGUAAUGUCUGGGGAUCUGCCUGAUGGAGGGGGAUAACUACUGGAAACGGUAGCUAAUACCGCAUAACGUCGCAAGACCAAAGAGGGGGACCUUCGGGCCUCUUGCCAUCGGAUGAACCCAGAUGGGAUUAGCUAGUAGGUGGGGUAAUGGCUCACCUAGGCGACGAUCCCUAGCUGGUCUGAGAGGAUGACCAGCCACACUGGAACUGAGACACGGUCCAGACUCCUACGGGAGGCAGCAGUGGGGAAUAUUGCACAAUGGGCGCAAGCCUGAUGCAGCCAUGCCGCGUGUGUGAAGAAGGCCUUCGGGUUGUAAAGCACUUUCAGCGAGGAGGAAGGCAUUGAGGUUAAUAACCUUGGUGAUUGACGUUACUCGCAGAAGAAGCACCGGCUAACUCCGUGCCAGCAGCCGCGGUAAUACGGA